UACGGAGGGGGCAAGCGUUAUUCGGAAUUAUUGGGCGUAAAGGGCGCGUAGGCGGCAUCGCAAGUGGAAGGUGAAAUCCCUCGGCUUAACCGAGGAACUGCCCUCCAACUGCGUUGCUUGAGGCCGGGAGAGGUGAGUGGAAUUCCCAGUGUAGCGGUGAAAUGCGUAGAUAUUGGGAGGAACACCAGUGGCGAAGGCGGCUCACUGGACCGGUUCUGGACGCUGAGGCGCGAAAG
rnacentral:rRNA from 1 species